UUUAAGAUGACCGUCAUUAUUUGUAGCUGACCUCCAGUUAUAAGGAAACUAUGUGACCUGGGUAAGUAAAUCCAUGUAAAUGCACUGCAAUGAACUGGGCAGCUAUGUCACAAGGAUUGUUGUAAGCCACUAUUUUAUGCAUCUACCAAUCAGUCAUGUCUGAUGAACACCUUUUAAAGUUAAGAAAGAUUAUGCAGUCUCUUGAUACAAGAGUGUCAAAGAUUAUACUGCAGAGAGUUGAGGAAGUAUAUCCUGCUUUGAAGGAAAGCUUGCAGAACAUUGAUACGAUCAAAGUAGAAAAUGAUUUUCUGAUCAAAGAAAACUCCAUUGAUGUGGAAAGUAACAAGGUUUAUACAGCAGCAAUAUGUUCCAUAAAGGAGGCCGAACUCAAGGUGAGUUUUGUUUUCAGAUGAUGUUUCUAAUUUUCUAACAGUUUGUAUAUGACAUUGGCUCAUGGGGAACCCUGUUCCUUUUGUGGAGCCUUUCAUUCAUGAUGGCAUGACAUGAUGGUUGAGAGCUGGAAUAGUUUAAGAAAUAGACGCUAGGCAGCAGUGUGGUGAACAUGUUGUCUCAGCAACUGAUAAACAUGCAACAGCAGAGGAAUUCUUGAAGUGGUUGUUUCUGUGCAGUCUGCCGAGGUUGUAAAAUGACACCAUCCAAAGUAGGUUGGUUAUAACUUAUGCCUGUCCCACCUGGGAGUGUGGCGGACACUCACCUCUUGAUAUUGCAGUACCUACAAAACAGAGUACUCUGCACUAUUGGAAAUCUUGACACCUGUACACCAGACCAUAAGUUGCGUGUUGCUUUAAAAAUUUCUUAUGUAUAUGACUGUAUAACUAAAUUAUGCAGGACACAGGGAUAUUAAAAUGUUAUUAUAUGUAGGUCGUACCGAAAGUCGUGAGCAACUUUUUUUGCAUGCAACCUGAGACCAGCAGAUGAAAGAGAGUAUGGUGGUAAUGGAACUAGCUGUUGUGUUAAGCUUGAGUGUCCUGUGACGUCAAUAGCUUGCAUCACGUGACCAGUAUCACUCCUAACAAAAUGGCCGACAACCAUCUGUUGUUUCACCAGCAUGCUGUCAUUGAAUUUCUUGUGAAAGAGGAAAUCUCUGCUGCAGAAAUUCACCAGAGACUUCAGCAUGCUU